AGAAAGACCGGUAAACAUCCUUGUAUGUUGUAUUCCGAAAAUCACUUGCUUAUAUCUAGUCAUAACUGAAAUAAAUAGCCAAUUAUAAGAAAAAGUUCAGAGAUACAAAGCUUCUAACGCACCAUUACAAUGAAUUUACGAACUCAAAAACCAGAGACCAACCGAUGCAGGGAGAUCAUCUUCUCACAGGAGGCACAACACCUCGACCAGGUGCUGCUCCACGACCU
rnacentral:misc_RNA from 1 species